UGGGGGAUAUUGCACAAUGGGCGAAAGCCUGAUGCAGCGACGCCGCGUGGGGGAUGAAGGCCUUCGGGUUGUAAACUUCUUUUGCUCUGAACAAGGCAUGCCUUUGGGGUGUGUUGAGUGUAGGGGUUGAUUAGCGCCGGCUAACUACGUGCCAGCAGCCGCGGUAAUACGUAGGGCGCGAGCGUUGUCCGGAAUUAUUGGGCGUAAAGGGCUUGUAGGUGGCUGGUUGCGUCUGUCGUGAAAGCUCAUGGCUUAACUGUGGGUUUGCGGUGGGUACGGGCUGGCUUGAGUGCAGUAGGGGAGGCUGGAAUUCCUGGUGUAGCGGUGGAAUGCGCAGAUAUCAGCAGGAAUACCGGUGGCGAAGGCGGGUCUCUGGGCUGUUACUGACGCUGAGGAGCGAAAGCGUGGGGAGCGAACAGG
rnacentral:rRNA from 1 species